UGAAUAUUAAUUAGAUGAUGUAAAUAUACGCUCCCGGAAGGUUGCCAGGCAACGCGCACACGGCGUAAUUAAUAUUCAUGAGGAACGCCUUUCCCGUAGUAGAAUCGGUAAUUUGGCGUCUUACUUCACACAUGAGUCCGUCCUUACGAGUCCUGAAGCGGCGGAAGAGGCAUGAUUUUCCAAGCGCAGGCUGUUCUUUCACCGCCUUAAACCAGACAGACGCAAGACUAGCGAACACACGACCAGAUUUAGACGUUUUUUCCUCAUUUUCAAACGCAUUUUGCUCAUUUCCUGCAGUAUAAACUUAUUUAUUAGCUUUAGCCAGGUAGCUUGUAUUUGGAAAUUGGACAAGUAUGAUCAGCCUGGCUGUGGAUUAAUCGGCCUGUUUCAAUAGAAGAUUCAUUUUUCUCUUGUGAAACCGCAAUGUCACAUACUGUAGUAAAAAUAGCCUGUUGUUUUUGUUAUUCCAAAAGCAGAGCUGUCUGAAGUUGAUUUUAGACCAAAUCAAGGCCGAACAAAGAGGACAACCAUCCAAAGCCUUUUCAUUUCAUCUUCAGAGAGAGAAAGCACAAAAACA